rnacentral:rRNA from 1 species
AGGAUGAACGCUGGCGGCGUGCUUAACACAUGCAAGUCGAACGAUGAAGGCUGGAGCUUGCUCUGGCUGGAUUAGUGGCGAACGGGUGAGUAACACGUGAGUAACCUGCCCCUGACUCUGGGAUAAGCGCUGGAAACGGCGUCUAAUACCGGAUACGAGCUUCCACCGCAUGGUGAGGAGCUGGAAAGAAUUUCGGUCGUGGGAUGGACUCGCGGCCUAUCAGCUUGUUGGUGAGGUAAUGGCUCACCAAGGCGACGACGGGUAGCCGGCCUGAGAGGGUGACCGGCCACACGUGGGACUGGAGACACGGCCCAGACCUCCGUACGGGAGGCAGCAGGUGGGGAAUAUUGACACGAAGUGGGCGACGAAGCCUAGGACUGCGACG